GAUGAACGCUGGCGGCGUGCCUAAUACAUGCAAGUCGAGCGAACGGACGAGAAGCUUGCUUCUCUGAUGUUAGCGGCGGACGGGUGAGUAACACGUGGAUAACCUACCUAUAAGACUGGGAUAACUUCGGGAAACCGGAGCUAAUACCGGAUAAUAUUUUGAACCGCAUGGUUCAAAAGUGAAAGACGGUCUUGCUGUCACUUAUAGAUGGAUCCGCGCUGCAUUAGCUAGUUGGUAAGGUAACGGCUUACCAAGGCAACGAUGCAUAGCCGACCUGAGAGAGUGAUCGGCCACACUGGAACGGGGACACGGACCAGACUCCUGCGGGAGGCAGCAGAAGGGAAUCUGCCGCAAUGGGCGAAAGCCUGACGGAGCAACGCCGCGUGAGUGAUGAAGGUCUUCGGAUCGUAAAACUCUGUUAUUAGGGAAGAACAUAUGUGUAAGUAACUGUGCACAUCUUGACGGUACCUAAUCAGAAAGCCACGGUUAACUACGUG
rnacentral:rRNA from 1 species